rnacentral:rRNA from 1 species
AUUGAACGCUGGCGGCAGGCCUAACACAUGCAAGUCGCACGAGUGGCGGACGGGUGAGUAAUGUCUGGGAAACUGCCUGAUGGAGGGGGAUAACUACUGGAAACGGUAGCUAAUACCGCAUACCAUCGGAUGUGCCCAGAUGGGAUUAGCGAGUAGGUGGGGUAACGGCUCACCUAGGCGACGAGCCCGAGCUGGGCUGAGCGGAUGAACGGCAAAACUGGAACUGAGACACGGUCCAGAUUCCUACGGGGGGCAGCAGGGGGGAAGAUUGCAAAUGGGGCGAAAGCCUGAUGCAGACAUGCCGCGUGUAUGAAGAGGUGCGUCGGGUUGUAAAGUACUUUCAGCGGGGAGGCGUUACCCGGAGAAGAAGCACCGGCUAACUACGUGCCAGCAGCCGCGGUAAUUC